UUGUAAGUAUCUUUUCUCUAAAAGCAUCGUUAUCCGCAUGCGCCUCCGUUUCGUCCACUCCAGAUUAACCUUCCCGUCUCGCCCUCUCUCUUUUUUCCUUCUUUUUCUGAGCUUUCUUCAUCUCCUUCCCUCGUCUCUUCCGUUUCCGUCCCAUCUUUCUCUCACAAAUCCUCUCUCUUGUUCUUCUCGCUCACUGCCUCUUCUCUCAAGACGGAAAUAAAAAACAACAGGUUUAUUUGUCUUCAAAUGUAGAUAGAUUUGUAGAUCUUUUCUUUGGAUGUUCUCCUGCGAUUUUUUGUUUCCCUCGUAAGUAUUUUCCUUCUCAAUAGAUAUAAGAAUUUAAUGAUUUCAUUUCGGUUUUUUUUUUUUGCAAUUUUGUUUUUUUUUUUCUGGGUUCCAGUGGCGAUUUGUUUCGUUCAAGGGACAUCUGAGAAUUUUUUCUCAGAUAUGAAUUUUUGUUUCGUUUUCUAUUUUUUUUGUUUUUUUGACUAUUAUAACUUUUUUCUAACAAAUCUGACAUGUUUGUGAUUGUGUUUAAUUUUUUUUUCCUAUAGCUGAUUAUUAAGGCUGAAACUAUGGAGUUGUAAAAUAUCAAGCGUAUAUUUGUAAUUUGUGUAAGUCAGAAUCUUAUUUUACACCUUUUAAUGAUGUGCAUAUAUAGUUUUAUCUUUUCAGUUUAUAGUUUCUAAUUUUUUUACUUGCAUAUGUAACAACCAUUUGAUAAGCAGGUUGUAGUUUGCAUUUUAGCACAUUUUUUUUUAUCUCAAAGUGUUAUUCUGCAGCUUUUAGGCACGAGUAUAUGUAAUUUUAUUGUUUGAGUUUGUAAUGUUCAAUUUUUUAACUUGCAUGUGUACCAACUAUCUGGAAAACACUUUGUAAUUUGCAUUUCAGCAUAUGUGUUUAGAUGAGAAUUUUAUUCUACAACUUUUAGACAUGACAGUAAGAACUUUUAAUCUUUUAGUUUGUAGUGUGAAAUUUUUUUACGUGCAUAUGUACCAACCAUACCAUCUGAUAAAACACUUCUUGGCUUGUGUUUUAGCAUAUAUGUUUAGAUAAGAAGCUUAUUUUACAGCUUUUAAGGACUGAUCGUAUAUACUAUAUUUUAAGCAUCAUCAUGUAUACACUAUCUCUUCUUGUUUGUACUCUAUAGUUUUCGAAACUGCUAGUGUAGCAACUAUUUGAUAAAGAGUUUGUCACUUGGAUUUUA